GAUUUGAGUCUGGUGGGAGGAGGCUGAUAGUCAUGCAGUGGAUGGCUUUCACAAUGUUCGACCUUAUUUCUCUCACUGUUAGUAGCAACUUCCCGUCACACGUCGGGACGUCACACGUCCUAUGCAUAUAUAUAUGCAUAGGAAUUAAAAUAAGCCUUUUCUUUCCCAAAUCAUUUUUUCUUUGAUAUCAGGCGAUUAUAUUUAAUUUUAAUCUUUUUUUCCAAGUUUUUCAAGAAGGCAGAAGAUCAUGAGUAAGGAAAAAAUAAUGUAAUAGAUUAUUGAGCUAAGGACUGAACUGACAUUAAAAUAUAGUUAGCUUUGAAGUUUCCAAAUUACCCGUCACUUUUAUUUGGAGCUAUUACAAAGUACAUGUUUUGUUUUGACACCAAUUCCUAGGCAAAACUGAGUGAAAGAGUUUGUUUUUACUUACAAAGUUUACUGAAUAGCGUUCCUAGAAGUGCCAACAGAAUUAAAGUUCAUGAAUCCAUUCUGUGAAUGAGUCCAAUGUAGUAUCAACAGUACAGCAGAUCAGAAGUAAUUUGAUAAGUUUCUAGUAGUUGUAGUAUCCAGGUAAACUAGUGGGUGUAUCACUUUUGGCUAUAAUGACAGCUCACACUGGAAUUUCUCCAAGUCUAAGCAUCUUGUACAGGUGUAAGAGAGCUAAGUGCUAAGCCUAUAUUGGGAAAUAGUAUUCAGCAUCUAUAUGCUACCCUGAUCUGGAUGAUCUGCAUAUCUGGAGAGGUCUACAAUAUAAACUGCCUGCAAUAUCAGACAAGAACUGUAAUAUCAGUGUCACCAUCAUACAUUAGUGGUCAUGCUCUCUGGAGAUUCUGGGAAUUUUAUUCAAGAAAGAUCAAUGUUUUAAACUUUGGGGACGGAUCUACCAGUUCCCUCAACUAUAGAUACCAGAUGUUUGGAUUAAAGAACUGCAAUUCACUUGUUCAUAGCAUAAUUCCACUCUCCAUUUGUCAUAAUUUCAUGCUUUAUUUUGACAGGCGGACUCCACAGCUAUCCACAGACACAGCUCAGGAGAAGAUGUGCAAACAUCAGCAGCCAGAGACCUGUGUAUGUUCCAGGGCAGCAAACACCACUGACAGAGCCAAUUAAACCCGAGGUUCAAGAUGAGAUAUCAUCUCUACAAGAUUUCCUAGCAAGGGAUUCUGUAUCAGCUGAAAAUCUCAUCAGCAACACACAACAACAGGCCAUUGUAAGUAAAAUGUCAUACUCUGUUGGCAUCCAAAGUUGCAUUUUUAAAAAAAUGGAAUGAAAUUAUUCUGUUUCUUAUCUUCUUAAAUACAUUACUCCUAAUGUGAGAUUCUUCUGCUGUUGGUUGCCGUCUUCAGCCCUGCUCCGCUUCUCCCACUAAUAUCUCCAGAUAUAGAUUCAUAUCCUGAACACAGACUGGAUCAUGUCUUAUGGCUAAUAAUAAAUUAGGAUAAUUAAAUACAGAUAAAAUUUGGAAUCUGAUAAGGGGUGCAGGAUAGUUUCCAGCUUGUACAAUUAU
rnacentral:lncRNA from 1 species